AUUGAACGCUGGCGGCAGGCCUAACACAUGCAAGUCGAACGAGUGGCGGACGGGUGAGUAUUGUCUGGGAAACUCCCCGAUGGAGGGGGAUAACAACUGGAAACGGUAGCUAAUACCGCAUACCAUCUGAUGUGCCCAGAUGUGGUUAGCUUUUAGGUGGGGUAACGGCUCACCUAGGCGACGAUCCCUAGCUGGUCUGAGAGGAUGAGCAGCCACACGGGAACUGAGACCCGGUCCAGACUCCUACGGGAGGCAGCAGUGGGGAAUAUUGCACAAUGGGCGCAAGCCUGAUGCAGCCAUGCCGCGUGUAUGAAGAAGGCCUUAGGGUUGUAAAGUACUUUCAGCGGGGAGGCGUUACCCGCAGAAGAAGCACCGGCUAACUCCGUGCCAGCAGCCGCGGUAAUUC
rnacentral:rRNA from 1 species